UACGAAGGGUGCAAGCGUUAAUCGGAAUUACUGGGCGUAAAGCGUGCGUAGGCGGUUAUUUAAGUCUGUUGUGAAAUCCCCGGGCUCAACCUGGGAAUGGCAAUGGAUACUGGAUAGCUAGAGUGUGAUAGAGGAUGGUGGAAUUCCCGGUGUAGCGGUGAAAUGCGUAGAGAUCGGGAGGAACAUCAGUGGCGAAGGCGGCCAUCUGGAUCAACACUGACGCUGAGG
rnacentral:rRNA from 1 species